CUUUUCCUUUUCAGCCAAUCAACUCGUUAGAAAUUUGUGUGUAUCUCUAUUUUCCCUAUGUAUUAUCGAGAAGUUGCUUUCUUUUUAAGUGAAAUUUUGUUGAAAGGUAUUGUGGCGGUCUCUCAUUCGCAUUGCAGAUGGCUAGCAGCUACUUUCCCAUUUACCAAGAGGAGAGAACGCACUACUUUCAAAGACUGGACCUGCAAAACUGGUCUCGGGGUGCUCGGGCCUGCAAUAUUUCAGGUCUGCAAAACUCCUGGGGAUCACCGUAAGGUACAGGUAGGAUGAACAGUUGGCGACUACUUGGCAAUAAGGGCUUAAAUUCUUUUGCAUGUUCCUGAAAGGUGUAAGAUGCUAGUAAAAAUUGCAGUGCAUAGGUCGAAGUGAGAACAAUAGCUACAGUUAUUGUCGCAGGGCCAUCCACUCUAUCACUUUGCAAGCCUUCUUCCGCUUGCUAUUGCCCGUAUUCUGUAGUGCCCCAUUCUCAGUCAACCCGAAAGUGGGCACCUCCUCUUUCACUCUUCAGAGAUCCCAAACAUUCAAAGAACCAUUUUACAGAAGUGGGCAUUCUUCAUUUAUAUGCUUGCAUUCUAAAUUCUAUUUGGGUCAGCCCUUGCUGCUCAAAGCAGCUUACACAGAGUUUCAAAACCCCAAUGGAGUUUGCAGCAGCCGAGGAGGGUGAAAGACUACAAUGGAUUCAAUUUGAUCUUGAUGGAUCUCUGCUCUGGUCAAGGAGCUGACUGUUCACCUAAGCAAGCACUUGUUGCGAGAAAAGUUCAAAUUUUAUCGACAGCACUCGGGUUCCUGUUCCAGUGUUGAGUUUGUCUCCAGUUGCCAAAACUUGCAGUGUUGCUGUGAAUUCAUUAUAUAAUAUGUAGUGAAAUCCAGUUAUAAAGUAGAGCAUAUGUAGAGAAUGAUAUUUUGUUGUAGAAAAUGACCGUACCAAGCAGAUGCAACAAAAUUCAUUGAAGCGGCUUAGUAUUGUAAUGAAUAGCCUCCAUAACUUUCCAUAGAAAUAUAUAAUGUUGUGUGCAGUUGCAUCAUUUCAUGAUCAUAUCCACUACAACUUAAACUAGCCUAAGUGAAUCUUGAAUUUGUAUUUUAUUGUUUUUCA